rnacentral:rRNA from 1 species
CCUACGGGAGGCUGCAGUGAGGAAUAUUGGUCAAUGGACGAGAGUCUGAACCAGCCAAGUAGCGUGAAGGAUGACUUCCCUAUGGGUUGUAAACUUCUUUUAUAUGGGAAUAAAAUGUUCCACGUGUGGGAUUUUGUAUGUACCAUAUGAAUAAGGAUCGGCUAACUCCGUGCCAGCAGCCGCGGUAAUACGGAGGAUCCGAGCGUUAUCCGGAUUUAUUGGGUUUAAAGGGAGCGUAGGUGGAUUGUUAAGUCAGUUGUGAAAGUUUGCGGCUCAACCGUAAAAUUGCAGUUGAAACUGGCAGUCUUGAGGACAGUAGAGGUGGGCGGAAUUCGUGGUGUAGCGGUGAAAUGCUUAGAUAUCACGAAGAACUCCGAUUGCGAAGGCAGUUCACUGGACUGCAACUGACACUGAGGCUCGAAAGUGUGGGUAUCAAACAGGAUUAGAUACCCUAGUAGUC